GGAAAUAGCACCUGCAGCUUUGGGGGGUGUUUCUGUUUAAAGGAAGGUUCAUGGCUUCCCUUUCCUCUUCUUCCUUCCAAGGGAUUGGAUGUGGACCUGAGCCUGGGAGCUGCCCUUGAAAUGGAAGCUAUGUGAUGAAGAUAGCAGAACCAGAGGUGGACAGACUAAUGAGAAUGAAUGGAUGAAGCUAUCGUAGGUAUAUUGCAGACCACCAGUGCUAGACAUCUCAACACCAAGACCCUUGACUUCAUGGAAUAAGUAACUUAUGAUGAAUACCUGGACCUGUUCUUCUUCUGACCAGUUCCUGGAUGUCUGACAGGACAUGUGCACCAGAGCACAAUCAUCUAUAGAUGAUGUCAGAAACCUAGUCAGAAACCCCUAGACUCUGAAUAAAGAUGAGGCUCACACUCUUUUCCUUUAUGAGUCUCCUGGACUGUCCAUCUAUAUCUCUUUUUAUACCUUCAAUAAACUCUGCUUUCACUUC